rnacentral:rRNA from 1 species
AUCUUCCACAAUGGACGCCAGUCUGAUGGAGCAACGCCGCGUGAGUGAAGAAGGCUUUCGGGUCGUAAAACUCUGUUAUUGAAGAAGAACGUGUGUGAGAGUAACUGCUCAUGCAGUGACGGUAUUCAACCAGAAAGUCACGGCUAACUACGCGCCAGCACCCGCGGUAAUACGUAGGUGGCAAGCGUUGUCCGGAUUUAUUGGGCGUAAAGCGAGUGCAGGCGGUUUUUUAAGUCUGAUGUGAAAGCCUUCGGCUUAACCGAAGAAGUGCAUCGGAAACUGGGAAACUUGAGUGCAGAAGAGGAGAGUGGAACUCCAUGUGUAGCGGUGAAAUGCGUAGAUAUGUGGAAGAACACCAGUGGCGAAGGCGGCUCUCUGGUCUGUAACUGACGCUGAGGCUCGAAAGCGUGGGUAGCAAACAGG